AGAUUGCAGGCUGCAACCCGCCUGCAUGAAGUCGGAAAUUGCUAGUAAUCGCGGAUCAGCAUGCCGCGGUGAAUACGUUCCCGGGCCUUGUACACACCGCCCGCCACACCAUGGGAGCCGGUAAUACCCGAAGUCAGUAGUCCAACCACGUGAGGACGCUGCCGAAGGUAGGAUUGGCGACUGGGGUGAAGUCGUAACAAGGUAGC
rnacentral:rRNA from 1 species